GACGAACGCUGGCGGCGUGCUUAACACAUGCAAGUCGAACGGAAAGGCCCUGCUUUUGUGGGGUGCUCGAGUGGCGAACGGGUGAGUAACACGUGAGUAACAUGCCCUUGACUUUGGGAUAACUUCAGGAAACUGGGGCUAAUACCGGGUAGGAGCUCCUGCUGCAUGGUGGGGGUUGGAAAGUUUCGGCGGUUGGGGAUAGAUUCGCGGCUUAUCAGCUUGUUGGUGGGGUAGUGGCUUACCCAGGCUUUGACGGGUAGCCGGCCUGUGAGGGUGACCGGCCUCAUGGGGACUGAGGUACGGCCCAGACUCCUACGGGAGGCAGCAGUGGGGAAUAUGGCACAAUGGGCGGAAGCCUGAUGCAGCAACGCCGCGUGCGGGAUGACGGCCUUCGGGUUGUAAACCGCUUUCGCCUGUGACGAAGCGUGAGUGACGGUAAUGGGUAAAGAAGCACCGGCUAACUACGUG
rnacentral:rRNA from 1 species